UAAUCCACUUGAAAUAAAUCAUUAUCUAGUUAUUAGUUAUAACAGAAAUACACCUAACUAUCCAAAAUUACUUAAUAUCUCAAGCUGAAUACAGGGGCGGAGAGCAUGGAAUGCGAGCGUGCUUGCAUCCAGUGUUAAUGGUAGGAAAAGCCUGACAAAUAUCAAGGGUCUUAAGAUAAAAA
rfam:Populus trichocarpa scaffold_11_contig_6, whole genome shotgun sequence.